GAUGAACGCUAGCGGCAGGCUUAAUACAUGCAAGUCAAGGGGGUAGCAAUACAACCGGCGCACGGGUGAGUAACACGUACACAACAUACCAUAUACUGAGGUAUAGCUUCGGGAAACUGAAGGUAAUCCCUCAUAGUAUUGUGAAAGGGCAUCUUUUUACAAUUAAAGUUUCGACGGUAUUAUGAUUGGUGUGCGUUUGAUUAGCUAGUUGGUAGGGUAACGGCCUACCAAGGCAACGAUCAAUAGCUGGCGUGAGAGCGCGACCAGCCACACUGGAACUGAGACACGGUCCAGACUCCUACGGGAGGCAGCAGUAGGGAAUAUUGGACAAUGGGCGAAAGCCUGAUCCAGCCAUGCCGCGUGAUAGAUGAAGGCCCUCUGGGUUGUAAAUAUCUUUUUAUCUGGGAAGAAACACUUCUAUUCUUAGAAGCUUGACGGUACCAGAGGAAUAAGCACCGGCUAACUCCGUG
rnacentral:rRNA from 1 species